rnacentral:rRNA from 1 species
CAGCAGCCGCGGGAAUACGAAGGGGGCUAGCGUUGUUCGGAUUUACUGGGCGUAAAGCGCACGUAGGCGGACUUUUAAGUCAGGGGUGAAAUCCCGGGGCUCAACCCCGGAACUGCCUUUGAUACUGGAAGUCUUGAGUAUGGUAGAGGUGAGUGGAAUUCCGAGUGUAGAGGUGAAAUUCGUAGAUAUUCGGAGGAACACCAGUGGCGAAGGCGGCUCACUGGACCAUUACUGACGCUGAGGUGCGAAAGCGUGGGGAGCAAACAGGAUUAGAUACCCCGGUAGUCCCUGUCUCUUAUAC